GCAUAGUGUCCCAUGCUAGAGCAGACUAGGGCUCUUAACCAUUGCCUGGCCUCUGUGCCUGUAGGCUGCUGGCACUGAAGUAGGUCAUACAGAG